rnacentral:rRNA from 1 species
UACGUAGGGGGCAAGCGUUGUCCGGAUUUAUUGGGCGUAAAGAGCGUGUAGGCGGCUUUGCAAGUCCGUUGUGAAAACUCGAGCUCAACCUCGAGACGCCGGUGGAAACUGCAAAGCUAGAGUCCGGAAGAGGAGAGUGGAAUUCCUGGUGUAGCGGUGAAAUGCGCAGAUAUCAGGAAGAACACCGAUGGCGAAGGCAGCUCUCUGGGACGGUACUGACGCUGAGACGCGAAAGCGUGGGGAGCGAACAGG